rnacentral:lncRNA from 1 species
UGUAGUCCAGGAACCGCUUUUGCAUAACCUCAGUAGAUAAAGCAUGCUGAGGUCAUGUCAGAUCAUUUCAAGCUCUUCUGUGUCGAGCUGAGGAGCUGCUCUGUGCCCGGCUUACAGAACUGGAAGGGGGAGCCACCUUCCGCCUGAUGGAGGCUGGAGAACGGAUGGAACCUGGAUCCCUGGAGCCUGGGACACUACCUCGCUGCGGUUGGUGGUGGCCACAGACCAGUAGGAGGGCGGCUGGCAGCGGGAGCUUCUUCUGCCGGGCUGGAGGACUAGGAGAAGGGAGAGGGAACGCCACAUGCUGGAGGCUGGAGCCUGUGCCACCGUGGCUCACCUCGAUGUGGUUGGUGGCAGCUCGCCUUGCUGUGGUUGGUGGUGACGUCGGAGACUGCAGCUCGGCCACAGUGGUAGAAAUGUGUUGGGGUAGCUUUUGCUGUGUUGGGCACUUGCUCCCAUCUGCUUGCUUCUCUAGAAUCCACUGCCCUAGAAUGAGUAAUUUUUCUUAGAAGCAGAGUUGGAACCACUGAGGAAGCACAGGACCACCAGAACAACCCCAUCAUGGCCCUGUCACCAGGCCCAGUUUGGCUCCAUGAUAACCAAGACGCAGGUCCAGAGACAACCGCCCUGCUUGAUGCCUGCAUCUGACCUCCCUUGGUGGGUAGUGAUGAGCACAACAUGGAAGAAGCCAGGGCAGCUUGUGGCCAGCUGCCCUACAGCCCCAGAUGGCUGGGGACUAGGAUUCCAAAAGGAUGAUUUUGGAGCUGUAGGAUUGAAUGACUGGCCUGCUGGGUUUUGGAUGUUCGUGUAUCCUAUGAGUCCCAUCGGUGUUUGUUUUUCUUUCAGGCAAUUUUUCUUCUAUUGGCUGGGAAUGCUUACCCAUUGCCUGUACAAUCAUUGUACCUUGGAAGUAGUUAACUUGCUUUAUAAUUCAGAGGCUCAUGGGCAGAAGGGACUGUAUCCUUGUCCCAGAUAAAACUUUGGGCUUUGGACAUUUGCUGGAAUGAGUUAAGAUUUGGGGGACUGUAGGGAAGUCAUCAUUGUAUUUUGCAACGUGAGAAAGACAUACGAGAUUUGCAUGGGCAGGGACAGAAUAAUAUGACUUGGCUCUGUGUCCCACUGCUGUGAAAUUGUAACGGGAAAUGUUAAAGGUGGUGGGGGCUGGUGGAAGGUGAUUUAAUCAUGGUGGAGAGUGGAGGU